UUUGAUCCUGGCUCAGAGUGAACGCUGGCGGCGUGCUUAACACAUGCAAGUCGAACGAGAACGGAUAUUAGCUUGCUAAUAUUGUCAGCUAAGUGGCGCACGGGUGAGUAAUAUAUAGGUAACAUGCCUUCGAGAAGGGGAUAACGUUUGGAAACGAACGCUAAUACCCUAUAUGCCUUUAAGUCUUAAGACUGCAAGGGAAAUAUUUAUAGCUCGAAGAUUGGCCUGUACGGUAUCAGCUAGUUGGUGAGGUAAUGGCUCACCAAGGCUAUGACAUCUAACUGGUUUGAGAGGAUGCUCAGUCACACUGGAACUGAGACACGGUCCAGACUCCUACGGGAGGCAGCAGUGGGGAAUAUUGCACAAUGGACGAAAGUCUGAUGCAGCAACGCCGCGUGGAGGAUGACACAUUUCGGUGCGUAAACUCCUUUUAUAUGGGAAGAUAAUGACGGUACCAUAUGAAUAAGCACCGCUAACU
rnacentral:rRNA from 1 species